CAAUGGGCGCAAGCCUGAUCUAGCCAUGCCGCGUGAGUGAUGAAGGCCUAGGGUCGUAAAGCUCUUUCGCCAGGGAUGAUAAUGACAGUACCUGGUAAAGAAACCCCGGCUAACUCCGUGCCAGCAGCCGCGGUAAUACGGAGGGGGUUAGCGUUGUUCGGAAUUACUGGGCGUAAAGCGUACGUAGGCGGAUUAGUAAGUUAGAGGUGAAAUCCCAGGGCUCAACCCUGGAACUGCCUUUAAUACUGCUAGUCUUGAGUUCGAGAGAGGUGAGUGGAAUUCCAAGUGUAGAGGUGAAAUUCGUAGAUAUUUGGAGGAACACCAGUGGCGAAGGCGGCUCACUGGCUCGAUACUGACGCUGAGGUACGAAAGUGUGGGGAGCAAACAGGAUU
rnacentral:rRNA from 1 species